CCGGCUCAGUCCUGGCUCCCACCAGCCGGCGGCCCGGGUGGGGCAAGUGGAGACCCAGGGCCAGUGCUGGGUGAGAAACCCCGGCAGCAGUGGAGGGCGUCAGGUCAGGUUGGCCUGGAGCGGGCCCCCGGAGCCAGGCCGAGAGGAGAGCAGGUCACCCGGCUUUCAGCUCCUGCACCUCCGCACUUCCUGAGGGCCUGCCAGGUGCUGCGGAUCCAGCAGAGAUUAGCAGCACUCUUGUUCCCAAGGAGCAGAGCUCCUCGCAAGGGGCACAGGUGACAGGCGACAUCCAGAAGCGGCAAGUGCAGACGGAGAAGGCGGACCCGGCAUGGAGGGGCGUGGGGCAGUGUAAAGAGGGAGCACAGACCAGGGUGCGGUACGGGCGGCCAGGCUGGGAGGCCAGGACUGAGACAGCGCUGGAGGUGGGUGCCAGCCGUGAGGAGUGAGCACACGGUCCCCGCUGUGAGCAGCAGGAGUGGCGGUCGGUGGGACAGGCCUGCAGGACACAGCCCCUGCCUGGCUGCUGGGCCUACCUGCUCCCGUGUGCGCGGAUCGCCUACUCUGCCCUCCACCCACGCCCUCUGCACCCGGCACCCUGCCGGUCCUUCAUCCUCCUGUCACUGCGGGGCUGCUUGGGGUCCACCCUGGGCCCCAUUUGGUCCCCAUCUCCUGCAGGUCCUUGUCCCUGUCCACGUGGAUCAUCCCUGCCUCCUCCGCCUCCCGUCCCCUGGCCACAUGACCUUCCCAAGGCGCACGGUGACCACAUCCCGUCAACUCAAAACCCUCAGGAUUCUCCGCUGCCUUCGAGGCGAAAGCCAGAGCCCAGCCGGCAGACCGGGCCCUGUCCGCACCCACGCCCGGUGUCCGGAACGCUAGGAGGCAGGAAGUGUGCCAAGGUCACAGCUGUCAGCAGUGACAGACUCCAGACUCCGAGGCAGUCCGACUGGAUCCCAAGGCCUCGUAUCGAUCAACAAUUACAGUUACCCGGAGCCCCCCUCUUCGUGUUGGCUUCAAGGGUCCCACAGGGCCUGGGAGUGAAAGCCCCCAGGGAACCGCGGACCUGAAGCCCAGGGGGACGAAGGAGAUGUGCUCUGCGGUCGUGGAAAUCACACACCUCCUCAUACAGCAAGGGGAAAGGCCUGCGGCAGCCCGUGUACAUCGUGCACUCUGCGCCAGGCACUCUGGAUAAGCCAAGCGCUUUGCACACGUUCGCUUGCUCCCGUCUCCCACAGCGCAGCCACCAAGCCAGGGUUGAAGGCCAAGUCUCCCUGGAAAGAUAGGGAACCCACGGCCCCCAGCACUUCCGGGUGACACAGCGCAGCCAGGGAACCAGCGCCUGACACAUUCCGUGGCGCAUGGGGCAGGACGUGGACUAGACCUGCUUCUGGAACGCACUCGCUGUGGCCCCAUACUGAGGGAACGCUCGGGGCCUCCACACCUGGCCCUCUGUCGGAGUGCAAAGGGACCCAGCUGUGGGGCUGGAGCACUUGGGGCUCGGGCCCCACACUGAGGCUCGGAGGCGGCACCAGCCUGGGCCCCAGCCCCUCUGCAGCCCCCCACAAAGCCCCGCCCAGCUGCCAAGUCUCUGGUGCUUGUUUCCACAAUACAGCAUUGUUUUGGAAAUCUUGGCCAGGCUGAGUGGUUCCAGAGAGCAAGAAAAAUGCCAGAGAAUCUACCAUGUAAAUAGAAAUAAAUAACGAACCCAUGGGCCUGGGCCACAGGCCUGAGCAUUCCCUUUGAAGGGGCCUUGAACACACACACUGCCUGUCCAUGUGGUGACACUACGGCGGACAGUGGGAGGGAGGCCGGUCCUGGCCAGCUUCCCAGUCAAAGUGCAGACCCAGGACCACCGGGGUGUGCGAAUGCACGGGCUGGCUUGAAGAGCCCUCCCUGGGUGGGCGGAGCUGUCCUCCUCAGCCCAGGAGGGUGGGCACCACCUGGCACUGAUGUGGUCCCUAUGCAGCCCUCGGGCUGGGGUGGGACCCAGGAAUGACCGUCCUGCAGCUGUGUCAGCCCGAGCUGCCCCAGCCACGCGAGCCCAGCCCGGCUGGGCAGGCGCUAGAGCCGCUGAGCUAUAUCCCCAGCUG